rnacentral:rRNA from 1 species
CUAAAUACUCCUGACUGACCGAUAGUGAACCAGUACCGUGAGGGAAAGGCGAAAAGAACCCCGGCGAGGGGAGUGAAAAAGAACCUGAAACCGUGUACGUACAAGCAGUGGGAGCACGCUUAGGCGUGUGACUGCGUACCUUUUGUAUAAUGGGUCAGCGACUUAUAUUCUGUAGCAAGGUUAACCGAAUAGGGGAGCCGAAGGGAAACCGAGUCUUAACUGGGCGUUAAGUUGCAGGGUAUAGACCCGAAACCCGGUGAUCUAGCCAUGGGCAGGUUGAAGGUUGGGUAACACUAACUGGAGGACCGAACCGACUAAUGUUGAAAAAUUAGCGGAUGACUUGUGGCUGGGGGUGAAAGGCCAAUCAAACCGGGAGAUAGCUGGUUCUCCCCGAAAGCUAUUUAGGUAGCGCCUCGUGAAUUCAUCUCCGGGGGUAGAGCACUGUUUCGGCAAGGGGGUCAUCCCGACUUACCAACCCGAUGCAAACUGCGAAUACCGGAGAAUGUUAUCACGGGAGACACACGGCGGGUGCUAACGUCCGUCGUGAAGAGGGAAACAACCCAGACCGCCAGCUAAGGUCCCAAAGUCAUGGUUAAGUGGGAAACGAUGUGGGAAGGCCCAGACAGCCAGGAUGUUGGCUUAGAAGCAGCCAUCAUUUAAAGAAAGCGUAAUAGCUCACUGGUCGAGUCGGCCUGCGCGGAAGAUGUAACGGGGCUAAACCAUGCACCGAAGCUGCGGCAGCGACGCUGAUGCGUUGUUGGGUAGGGGAGCGUUCUGUAAGCCUGUGAAGGUGUGCUGUGAGGCAUGCUGGAGGUAUCAGAAGUGCGAAUGCUGACAUAAGUAACGAUAAAGCGGGUGAAAAGCCCGCUCGCCGGAAGACCAAGGGUUCCUGUCCAACGUUAAUCGGGGCAGGGUGAGUCGACCCCUAAGGCGAGGCCGAAAGGCGUAGUCGAUGGGAAACAGGUUAAUAUUCCUGUACUUGGUGUUACUGCGAAGGGGGGACGGAGAAGGCUAUGUUGGCCGGGCGACGGUUGUCCCGGUUUAAG